CAGCCGCCACGGUAAUACAGAGGGUGCAAGCGUUAAUCGGAAUUACUGGGCGUAAAGCGCGCGUAGGUGGUUUGUUAAGUUGGAUGUGAAAGCCCCGGGCUCAACCUGGGAACUGCAUCCAAAACUGGCAAGCUAGAGUACGGUAGAGGGUGGUGGAAUUUCCUGUGUAGCGGUGAAAUGCGUAGAUAUAGGAAGGAACACCAGUGGCGAAGGCGACCACCUGGACUGAUACUGACACUGAGGUGCGAAAGCGUGGGGAGCAAACAGGAUUAGAUACCCCCGUAGUCCCUGUCUCUUAUAA
rnacentral:rRNA from 1 species